rnacentral:lncRNA from 1 species
CUCCAGUCUGCUCUCCUGCAUGCCUAGUGUUGUUUUCCUUUUUUUUUCCUCCGUUUUUCCAGUUUUCUAGUGACCUGAUCUUGUGAGUUGAGGACGCUCGCACCUCUCACAAAGUGCUUCGUAUGAUUUUAUGAAAGGUGUAUUAAUCUUGCAAGGUAUUAAUCUUGCAAGGUCCCAGGCAUUUGAGUUUAAAGUUGCACAGAAAGCUUGACGUCACUGGCAACCGCUGAGUUAAGAUGGACAUCCCUUGGGGACAAACACCACAGAAGUGCUCAUAUGCACUCCAUGACAGACAGACACUCCAUGACAGACAGACAGCCUUUGUGAGUUGCUAGUAUUACUGGAUGAACAAUGCGUUUUUGGGAAGAGAGAUAAUCCAGCUAGUGGGAAUAUUUGGACUGAGAACAUCACAGGACUGGGACCAGGAACAUCAAAAUGUAUGCAUGUACUUAAAGUUGUUCCAGCAAAGGAAACCCACUUUCAUUGAAGUGCUGGAGCAUGAUACUGGCAUAGCAAGAAACAGCAGCUGAGGCAGAGCAUGUCUGUGAAGCCAAGGAAUGUCCUUGACAGAGGAAGCAGUGCUUACCAGGCAUAAGUACCUCUGCUGAGGGCACAGCAAAGACCAGAGGAGCCUGUCAAUACAGCUAGAAAGAUAAUGAUGUGCCCUGUGGUGCUACAGAAAGGUAAGGCCUUUCUUCAAGACAGAAAUGUAAAAGUAUUAUUAAGUAUUUACCAGGAUUUUUCCUAAACAAUAUCAUCAAAAGAUGCGAUAACACUUGGGCACUGUGUGGGGCAACUGUGAAAUGAGGUGUUUCUUUCCUUUACAAGAAGGGGACAUGUCAUUCCCAGCUAGGCUCUCUUAAUCAGGAUUGGGCCUCGAGCUAGCCACGGGUCUGGGUUUCCCAGAGCUUUGGCACUGGUUCACAAGGCGCGCAGGGCCGUGCCAUGUGUGUGGGCACGGCACUGUGCUUGCAUGGAGUGCCCCUGAGAGAUUCGGUCUCCGUCGGCACGGAGCGCUGCUCGGUCUAGCCUUUUUAUAAGAUGAAGGCUUUAAUCUUAGUUUCAAUUUCCUCCAUAAAAUUUGUAUGCAAAUAUUU